UACGUAGGGCGCAAGCGUUGUCCGGAAUUAUUGGGCGUAAAGAGCUCGUAGGCGGCCUGUCGCGUCGGGAGUGAAAACUCAGGGCUUAACCCUGAGCCUGCUUCCGAUACGGGCAGACUAGAGGUAUGCAGGGGAGAACGGAAUUCCUGGUGUAGCGGUGAAAUGCGCAGAUAUCAGGAGGAACACCGGUGGCGAAGGCGGUUCUCUGGGCAUUACCUGACGCUGAGGAGCGAAAGUGUGGGGAGCGAACAGG
rnacentral:rRNA from 1 species